CAAAUAACUGUUAUAAGAUCCCAAUCCCAGGCUGAUGAGAUUGGUGAUGGAACAACUGGUGUUGUUGUAUUGGCUGGUGCUUUGUUGGAACAAGCUGAGAAAUUGCUAGAC